UACGUAGGGGGCAAGCGUUGUCCGGAUUUAUUGGGCGUAAAGAGCGUGUAGGCGGUUUGGUAGGUCCGUUGUGAAAACUCGAGGCUCAACCUCGAGACGCCGAUGGAAACCAUCAGACUAGAGUCCGGAAGAGGAGACUGGAAUUCCUGGUGUAGCGGUGGAAUGCGCAGAUAUCAGGAGGAACACCGGUGGCGAAGGCGGGUCUCUGGGCAGUAACUGACGCUGAGGAGCGAAAGCAUGGGGAGCGAACAGG
rnacentral:rRNA from 1 species